rnacentral:tRNA from 1 species
AACAAGAUGCCUGAUUAAAGGGCUAUUUUGAUAGAAUAGAUAAAGUAUAUUAUAAUACUCUUGUUA